GACGAACGCUGGCGGCGUGCUUAACACAUGCAAGUCGAACGGAAAGGCCCUGCUUUUGUGGGGUGCUCGAGUGGCGAACGGGUGAGUAACACGUGAGUAACCUGCCCUUGACUUUGGGAUAACUUCAGGAAACUGGGGCUAAUACCGGAUAGGAGCUCCUGCUGCAUGGUGGGGGUUGGACAGUUUCGGCGGUUGGGGAUGGACUCGCGGCUUAUCAGCUUGUUGGUGGGGUAGUGGCUUACCAAGGCUUUGACGGGUAGCCGGCCUGAGAGGGUGACCGGCCACAUUGGGACUGAGAUACGGCCCAGACUCCUACGGGAGGCAGCAGUGGGGAAUAUUGCACAAUGGGCGGAAGCCUGAUGCAGCAACGCCGCGUGCGGGAUGACGGCCCUCGGGUUGUAAACCGCUUUCGCCUGUGACGAAGCGUGAGUGACGGUAAUGGGUAAAGAAGCACCGGCUAACUACGUG
rnacentral:rRNA from 1 species